AUGGUUUAAUGAUGAUAUAAUUUGCGAUCUAGUGCCAUUGUGACUCGAAACACGCCUAGUUUCAUUAUGGGCCAGUGGUAGCAUGCGACCAAUUUAUUAAGUCUGAUAUCGAA
rnacentral:snoRNA from 1 species